UACGGAGGGAGCUAGCGUUGUUCGGAAUUACUGGGCGUAAAGCGCACGUAGGCGGCUUUGUAAGUUAGAGGUGAAAGCCCAGAGCUCAACUCUGGAAUUGCCUUUUAGACUGCAUCGCUUGAAUCAUGGAGAGGUCAGUGGAAUUCCGAGUGUAGAGGUGAAAUUCGUAGAUAUUCGGAAGAACACCAGUGGCGAAGGCGGCUGACUGGACAUGUAUUGACGCUGAGGUGCGAAAGCGUGGGGAUCAAACAGG
rnacentral:rRNA from 1 species